AAGAAUGGGUCCCAUCCAUGUUUCAGUUAUACUAUUUGUACGAGACAUGACGAGAUGAGAUUUGGAUAAGUCUGAUAAAUGAAAAACAAUUAUGUUUAAUCCAAAUUCCCUGGGAAAACAUAGUACAUAGCACAGGCUCUGUGGAAAGCCAAGAGUCCUUCAUGAGCAAGGAAGAGGCAGGCCUGCGGACAAGCAUCUGCACUGUGGUUUUCUGUGGGAGCUCAGCUGGGAGACUGGCUCCCAUGUUUUAUGACAGGGCACUCUUGAGGAGUGAGGGAUAAGAGAUAUUAGAUAGAAGGAUAGAGGGGAGAAAAACAGAUAGAAACACAGGAUAGCCUCAGGAGGGCCUGGAUCAUUAUCCACCAGCCCCUUCUGUCUCUUCUAAAGGGCUUUUUAUAGGAAUGCCAAUGGGUGGAGCAAAAGACCUCCCCUAGCACAGCCAAGUGCAGACUCUUUCUAAUCACCUGGUAACCACACAUGUGGUCAAGCAAUUUUCUAAUGCAGCUCUGCUGGGAAAAGCAAGUUCAGAUCCCACUAGGAAACCUUUGUGGGCCUCCACAGUUUUCAUGAGAAGAAAUGGACAAGGCAGGCUAGGCAUAUUUAGGGUCUCCAGCUCCUGAUCAAAUUCAAGUUCACUGAGUCUCUAAGGGUGUACAGGUUGGUGCUAUCUAAUGUCUCCAGAUGUUUAUAGGUGAGGCCAGGAGCUAAUAAUAUCUAGUAACCAAAUUAGGAUUGUUAAAUCAUCAAUCUAAAGAAAUCAAAAGCAUGGCUACUGUGGUCCCCACUGACCUGCAUGGUAGGACCCUGGUGACAUAUAACACAAGUUUGUUCAAUCCUGCUUUGGGUAUGAACAGUCUUCCCUCCCCAGGUAGAGAAAAUUCUUACUGGAAAUUUUGAGCCAUGAUCUAAACUCGGUCCACUUAUCCAGUAGCUCUUACCUCAUCCAAGUUACCUAGGAAACACCAUCCUUUUUCUAGGACAGGUGAUGGAUCAUUCUGCAGAUAGUUGCUCUGAGACAUAAUACUGCCGUUCUCUUUACUUUCAUGAGUGGAACAGACCCAUAAUCCAAGAACACAGAAUGGAGCUGCAUGGAGCUAGUCCUAUGAACUGGACUUAAGCUGUGAUGUGCAACUUACUCACCAGAUUCAUGGUUCAUCUACUGUUCUCUUAUUUCAUAGUUUGCAGAGUGUAAGAGCAUGAGCUCUGCUGUUCCUAAUCCUCAGGAUGCCCCAAGAGGGUGUUCUAUGGAUUGAAGAGUAGAACCAGCCACCCAGCAGAGGAUCACUGAGGUCUUGUGCACAGUACUGUUUAUUUGGAUUUACUGUUUAUUUAUCUGUCCCAGCUUGCCUUGUCUUUUAUGGCUGUUUACAGACUUUCAGUUUUCAGUUUUCAUCAUCAGCAUAUAGAUGGCCUUUGCUCAAGUUGAGAUUCCUAGUCAGCCUUUGGGUAAAUGCCAAGACCUACCUUUGCCAUGCUUCAUAUCAUUCUAGGAAACAACUGAUAGAGUGGUAGGAAAGAAAUGAAAUCUUGAAAGCUACAAACUACAAUAUGAGAGAGAUAGAUGACAGGUUAUAAUUAUUAUCAUGCAAAAGGACUCAGAAAUUAAUUACCGAAAAAAUGAAAAAACAUAUCAUUUGAAAGCUCUUGAUGCAUGCCACCUGGUUCCUGGAAAAGUUGCAGAACUUUGCUCCUUUGGAGCAGUUUGUCACUCACAAAGGCAUUAGCCUUUGUGGUACCUUGAUGUGAGGUGAGUGAGGUGUCUUUCCUCUGAAGACAGCCCGGGAUUGGCUUCACCUCUUUGCCCUGUGUCCAGAUUCCAGGUUGCAGACAACACAAUAGCAUGUCAGACUUGGUCUCAUUUGGAAUGUUUUUUGUGUUGUGAUUAUGUUGCCAGAAUUUGAUUCACCCUGCCUGUAUUUUUGAGAACAUGACAUCCACCCCCACCUCUCUUUCUCAUUCUUCAAUGUAGUAUCUGACAGUACUGCAGUGUCUGCCAUUCUUUAGUGACACAUCAACAUAGCCCAUCCACAUUCAGUGAAGUUGACUUGGUCCCUUAGGGUCUCAGUGUUCUGCAUGUCUUCUAGAUUUCACUUUUCCCUAGUUCUCUAAUGGAUCACUUGCCAAGCUACACUGGCCUCCAGGAUGUUCCCUGAACACACCUUCCCUAAUCACACAUACCCUAAGGUUCCAGGGCUUUGUACUUGCAGUUUCUACUGCCACAAAAUGGACCCAUUCAUUCCCUCAGCCUCUUCAGGCACAAACUGCUUCCUCCUUACAGAAGCAUUUUAUGGCCACUGUGAACCUCCUUUACCCUCUGCCCACUUACCCUGCUGUACGUUUCUUCUCUUCUGCUCCCACGUGUUUAUUAUCUAAGUAGUCAUUGUCGUAGUCAUCCCAUAUAGGAUGUCAGGCUGACAGGUAAAGAUUUCUCUGUGUUUAUAAAUGUAUCUGAAACUGGGUCCGGCAUGAAGUAGGACCUUAGAAAUAUUUGUGGGGAGAAGAGGGUGAAUGAACAGAAUUCAACUGUCAUUCUUCAGAAUGCAACAAUAAGACAUUAUUCAUAUGGUCUGAAUGGAAACCAUAAUGCCCAAUGAAUCAAUGGUCACAAGAGGUUUUUGGAAUUUGGAAUGGGGAGGAGAACAAUAGGGGGGGGGCUUCCUGAGAGUCAGGAACAUUUCCAGACAAUGUCUUCUACAAUUCAGAAAGCAGGGCAAGUUGAUCAGUGAAAGGAGGAAGAAGUGUCCUGGAAGAGACAACAAUUGAAUGGACUGUCGGCCAUGGUCUCAUUCACUAGGAACUGUUACCUUCUUUUUCCUGGAAUAAAACUGUCAAGACAUGUUGGACUGAGAAAGGAAGAAAUGGAUGCUUAAGGUCAAUCAUUAUCAUCAUCAUCAUCAUCAUUUCAUGAUUUUCUAAAAGCAAAGUCAAGUAACUUUUAGAAAUAACAAAAUGCUUUCCUUUCUAGGCAAAAUCCAAGGGCACUGCAAACAUCAGGGAGUAGUCACAUCUUUCCAUGUGACUACUAUGGAAAGUAGUCUUUCUAUGGCAGUAGGCAAACAAUGAACAAAUGUGGCUUCAAAAGCAGGCACACCCUUGAUCUUGAAUUCCCUGUGUUCCGUCUUAUCAUGAGAUGAGUAGUGGAUAGUUUCUAUACUGCUUUUCUUUGGCUCCUAUAACAAAUGGUUACCAACUGGGUGGCUUAAAUCAUGCAAAUCCUACACAUUCUAUAAAGAUCAGUUUCCAUUCAGACCAUAGAUCACUCCCACGGAAAAAGGCAGAAAAGAGUGAGAAAAGGAAAGGGUUGUGUUCAUACAAAUAUAAAUAUGAGUGCAUGUAUAUGUGUGAGGUGGGGGUGAGAAAUUAAGAGAGUAUAUAUAUGGAUGAGGGGGAGUGAAUUAUUGUUCUUCUAUUUUACCCCUUAUAGGUAUUUUCAAAACUACAGAGGCAUAAACCAACAACAGGAUGAGUUAUUUUGGAUUGACAGCUUUGGAUGUAAUAGGUGAAAAUGGACUAAACAUGGGAGAGACAAUCGUGUUGGAAAUAAACCUCUGGGAAUAGCUGUUUACUUGAGUUCACAUGCUACUGGGAAGAGGAGCUAAGCUUGAGGUAUUUGACAAUAGAGGAACUGAAGACUGUCAGAUUCAACCCUGCUUUGUAUCAGCCAGAUGAAAGCUAGAAUACUCUGCUCUUUCUGAUACCAACCCCGUGAUGGUGGGACAUGGGUCCACGUCACUCACGACUGUCAGUUUCAAAGGAUAAUUUGGAGACUGUCG